GCUGUCUCCAUGGCGACCGUGGCUUUAGAUUGUUACUCUAGCAACAGCAGCAUGGUAACAGUCUACAGCCAUGGUCGUUAGGGGCAGGU
rnacentral:pre_miRNA from 11 species